UACGUAGGGUGCGAGCGUAAUCGGAAUUACUGGGCGUAAAGCGUGCGCAGGCGGUGAUGUAAGACCAAUGUGAAAUCCCCGGGCUAACCUGGGAACUGCAUUGGUGACUGCAUUGCUGGAGUAUGGCAGAGGGGGGUGGAAUUCCACGUGUAGCAGUGAAAUGCGUAGAGAUGUGGAGGAACACCGAUGGCGAAGGCAGCCCCCUGGGCCAAUACUGACGCUCAUGCACGAAAGCGUGAGGAGCAAACAGG
rnacentral:rRNA from 1 species